rnacentral:rRNA from 1 species
UGCGCAGGCGGAAUGAUAAGUCAGUGGUGAAAUCCUACGGCUCAACCGUAGAACUGCCAUUGAUACUGUUGUUCUUGAGUACAGUUGUAGUGGGCGGAAUAUGUCAUGUAGCGGUGAAAUGCAUAGAUAUGACAUAGAACACCGAUCGCGAAGGCAGCUCACUAAGCUGAAACUGACGCUGAGGCACGAAAGCGUGGGGAGCAAACAGGAUUAGAUACCCUGGUAGUCC